rnacentral:rRNA from 1 species
AGAAUCAACGCUGGCGGCGUGCCUCAGACAUGCAAGUCGAACGCGAAAGUCCCCUUCGGGGGGCAAGUAGAGUGGCGCACGGGUGAGUAACACGUAGGUAAUCUACCUUUGGAUGGGGAAUAACAAUCGGAAACGAUUGCUAAUACCGCAUAAUGCAGCGGCACCUAAUGGUGACAGUUGUUAAAGCGGGGGAUCGAAAGACCUCGCGUCUGAAGAGGAGCCUGCGGCGGUAUUAGCUAGUUGGUAACGGUAAU